rnacentral:sRNA from 1 species
AUACAUUCUCUCUCAUGGCAGGGAGUGCUGAAAGUUACGCCUUUGGAUAUAGAUGAGUGAGACCUAUAAGGAAGCUUUUUGGAGCUCAAACCCUGUAAAAUCCC